GAUAGAAUACAUAACCGAAUGCAAAUAUAUAUACAUGUUCAUACCAGUUACAACUGUAAGUGCAUAACAAAGUUUUAGCAUUAUUGCUUGUUAAAUUAUCUUACAGUGAAAUCCUAUACAUGUCUAUUUAGAAGUAAGCCCAUUGAAUUCAGUGGAGCAUAAUUACAUGUAAGUACAGGAUUGCAGCUUUAAUAGCUCUAAAUAGUAUUUAUGUGUUUUGCAACAUUGCUGCAGAAAGUCCUUCAUUUGACAACUUCAAUUAAAUACAUAAUUCCUGUUUACAAGUGACCAAUUAAGCUGAAUUAUAUUUUCACUGCUAAUUCUUAUAAUUGGAACAUUUUUUUACCAUUAGUAUGUUUGGGAAAAAAAUCAGUUUGGUUCUGCAGUUCAUGACAUUCAAUUGCAUGGGUUCUUCAGGUAAAAAAUAGUAAGAGGCCAUUGGAUUGCAUAUUACCUGAUGUGGGAAUAUCUUGAUAAAACUUUAAAAAAUUGGCCAUUUUUAAAACAGAACACUAAUACUAUAGAACAUUUCUAUUCUAUGUUCUAUCUAUAACAUAGAAUAGAAAUAAAUAGCUUUUGUAUGCAGCAUCUCUUUGCAAUUCAUUGGUUGAUUUUAUAGGAAACAUUUGAGGACUGCAUAUUAAAUAAAGCUGCCUGACAAGAAUUAGGAUGCUGGUCAAGCAAACACGUGAAAUGUGUGAGGCAUUGGGUCUGAUUCAUGUAGAAUCUUCUCUGUAUACCUCCACUUGACUUUCUUGAGUACAAGAUUUGCACAAUAGAGUAUCAGUGUUAAUUGGACUGUGUGUGAUGUUAUGGACUCAUACAACCUAAUUUUAUAUAGAGUCUGAUUUUCACUGAGAUUUUUCCAUCUGGUCUCAUAUCCAGGAAUUUAUGGGAUGGAUCAUAAAAAGCCAUGCAGGACAGCAUUCACAUCUAAGUGCAAUUAAAAAUUCCAGUAUUGAUAAUUACUUAAAGCUUAUUGCAACUUUUUUUCUUUCUUUAUUUUGUUAACAUGUGACUGUCAUCCAUCUCAGUCAGAUACUGCCAUAUAACAAAGUGACUUAUGGGAAUAAUUGUAGUCCCCUUCCCUCAUUCUAUAUGUAAAAAGAGGCAACAGAGCCACAUGACUGGUCCCGCCAUGGCAUUGCAUACCUUCCCCACUCUGAAUAUCCUCAUGUCGAGCAUGGCUGUCUGCAUAUAUGAAGCCAUUGUGUGUAAACCUCUGCUUGAGGUGGAAUCCUGAAUCAUUGGGUUUCCAGCCUGCAUGGAAGUCUGUGCAUGUAGGCAUUACCUUUGCAGGCGUCUAAGUUCAAUGCAUAAUAGGCACUAAGGUAGGAUCAAGGAGCCAUGUAAUUUAAAUAUCUGUUUAAGAUAGUAUAAGUGCUCUUAUUUUUACUGGGUAUCUCAUUAUUGAUCUUUAUGCAUUUAGUUUUCAUAACUAUUGGAAAAUCUAAGAUUCUGUCACUUAGAUAUUUUGGUGCAGUUCUUCUCUUUGUAGUAUUCUACUUAUUUAUAGUUUAUAAAAUUUCAAUUUAAGGUAAUACUUUAAUCCAGGCCAUUGUCUUAUCCUUCACUGUUUUUUUACUUUAAUACUUCCAUUAUGCAGGACUAGAGAUGUCUAAGUCUGGAAAUGAAAGAGAACAUUAGGAAAAGGGGGGGGUAACAAGUGGGGAAAUGAUUUAUUUUGGCUUUCUCCCCUCUGGUGGAACACAGUCCUUUUUACUGCAUACAUGCACUUGUCUCUUUACAUUUACCUUUUCUUUCUUCAAAACAAAGGUCAAAAAAGGUGUGGAGGGGGGAAAAGAGAGAGAGAACAGUGAUGAUGCAUUGGUAUAGUACAGUUUAUGUCAAGGCAAGAUCCACUAGUUGAUGACCAAUAUGUAGUGAUCUGACUAUAUAAUAAAUGGGGGUAUUUGAACCAUCUUUAUAUUAUAAUUACUAUGCUCUGAAUGUUAUAUAAUUUUCAUUGGAAUACUUGUAAAAAUUUAAAGACAGUGACUUGUAUUUUCCUUACAUUGCUUACAUUUAAGAAGUAAAACAAAAAUACUAAAAACUUUGAUACUAUAAUAUUUGUAAGCUAAAGAAAUAUGCUUGAUAUGUUGACAGCCACUUAACUAUUUCAGCGGACUCUCUUUCACUAAGGCUGUUGUGGCAUCUUCUAAUUUUCUGUCAAUAUCUAUUUCACUUUGAGACAUAUAUUUCAGUGACACGUAUGCAUUCUUUACUUAUCCAGAAUAAUCAUCUGAAAAACAUUAAUUAGAAUUUUGAAAGUGGCAAAAUUUGAAACUUGCCUAAUAUUUGUAUUUGCAAGGAACAUACACUAAUUUUACUUAUGAACUUAAGAAUUUUCAGCCCCACAUCACUGGCUGAUAGAUGCUAUAUAGAAAGUUGUGUUCCUGUUCUAAGGACAGAGAAGGCUUCCCUUGUCUAGCAUCCCUCUGUCUCCUUUUCAACUCUAACCCUCAACCAAUAGCUGAGCCAGCGAACACAAAAACCCUUCAGGAAAAGAUGUGAAACUCCUGCUGUGAUUACCAAAUUAGGUCAAAAUUAACCUUAUUGUGCCUAAAUAAAUAAAUAAUUCACUAGGCUCCUGGUGUUGGAGAUGGAUUCCUUAUAGAACAUGGUACCACAUUCCAGUCAGUCUUGGUGCUGCACUGUGCACUCAGAUGGAGUGACCAACUGACCCCAUAGCUCAUGCACCCCAGUUGCAGUGACUCAUAUUGAGUCUGAAUGGUUUUAUGAAAAAUCCUUAGAGGUAUGUGACUAAAAGAGUUUGUUUUCACUGAGUAGCAAGGGGUCCAACAUUUUUCAUGCCCUCUGUUUUUAUUAUGUUACUGUUUGAGCUGGUCAUGGAAAGGGGAACAAGCCUGGCUAUCACAGCAUUGUAAUGAGUGGGAUGCUGUGACUUGGGGUCCUGUGCCAGCAGCUGGUUGGACCCAACAGCUUUCUGGGCUCCUACUGAUCCUACUAUUCUAUGAAUCUAUGAACAAUUACAUCUGCAUUAAAGCAGGUUGUGAUGAUAAUACUUCCCUCUCCUCAUCCUGCUUACCUUUUGUGUUGAGACUUUUUAGAAUAUAAGCCUGAGUGCAGGAAGUGACUUGGAUUUACUGUUUUGAAAGGAAGGCACUCUGGAAGUCUUUCUGUUUGAAUAGUGGGGUGUAAAUGAUUUAAAUAGUAAGUACAUAGAUGAAUCCAUGGUACUAGGAAAGAAGAACUAUUAAUUUUCAACUUACUUAUCUUCAUAGUGGAAUAUCAAACAUUAUCCUGAAAUAGACUGUGUGACUACUUGAAUCUUCCUUGCCAUGGGCGUAAAUUAGCUCUGUGAGAAAAGGAAAAUUCAGAUGACCUGACUGAGGUGUUAUGUAGCCCAAGUACUUUUGCCCUGUUUUCAGCAAAACCCCGACUAUGUUUUGGGAGUGAAAGGGGGGAAGUUACAAGAUGGCUUUGGGUCACAUUGUACUGUUUCAACACUCAGGUUGAAUCCAACAUGCUGAGCGAAACCUGAAAUGUAGCUGUGCUCCCCUGCGUAUGAAAGGGCCUCCAGAGAAGCUGCACACAAGGGGCUCCACUGGGGCCCUAGGUCAAUGAUUCCCAAGGGCCUGUUUGAGAGCUGAGAUGACUGGGUUUGGUUUGUUCCUUGCGGUGGCAGCUGCUACCAGUUUUGGCGCUGCACCAGGCUGUGCAUCCUCAGAUGAGAUUACCUGCAAGUGCCAGGUCACCACAAGUGUUAAAGUGACUCGGUUUAUUUUCUUUAUUCUUUGAAGACAGAAAAUGUCAAAUUACCUCUCUGUAGGGAGGUUAAUUUAUUUCCCCUGCUCCCCCAGUUAAGGAUGCUUUUGGACUAAAAGUUCCCUCCAAUCAGCACAGCAUUGACUCUUCUCCAGCACUUUAUUGGCUCCAAUAAUCUGCAAAAGUUACUCUAUGAAGGGUAGCAGGUUAAGCCCUGCUUUGGUCUUACAAACUUAGUUUUAUAAGGUGCAAAUUCCCCCUCUUAAAAUAAAGAAAAAAUCGUGCAUUUAAAAGCAUGGAGAAGGUGAAUAAAUGGAAAUAUGUUGGAGUGCAUAACUGAAAAUGGUAUUGAAGAAAAGACUUGGGGUACAUCACAUUGAUGCUGCAGAAACCAUCUAGUAGGUAUCCAUGGUAUUGGCAUGGCUAUAUUUCUAAUGGUGAAAUGGCAGCAGUUCUUAGAGUUGUUUAUGGGCAGGAUGUUUCAGGACCUAGGCAGACUUUUCAUCAUUUGCUAAAUGUCUAAAAUGUCUAAAAGUGGGGGAUCUUUAGCUGAAGAAAGGAAAUGAAUGCUUAGUUACCUUAGAAAUCUCCUGGUAAAAGUACCUUCCAUAUAGAAAAGUGUAGUUAGUUUUGCAUUUGUCGGCGAGUGCAAUUCUUUUACAGCUGAAGAAAUCUGGUGGGGAACUGCAAUAAUGGUCUGCCCAUUACAUGUUUACUUGGGGAGAUUACAGAUGUGACUAUCACAUGCCUAAUGACUGAUGCACAGGAUUCAUACAGUUUGAAUAGAGGUGACUUUUAUUUAGGAAAAGCUGUCUUGUGAGAAAUAGGCCUGUGGGGGGCAAAACAUUAUAAUUAAAGAUAUUUAAGGGAAUGAUGAAAAAACCAGAUUGAAAAGGAUUUAAGACAUGUAAACACUUUAAGUAUCUGAUGUUUUAAAUAUGUGCUGGACAGAUUUAAAAGGCAUUAGUAGUCUAAUCAUAAUGCUUUAAAACUAAUGUUCCUUUUUUAAAGCUUACCCAUGGUAAUGAUUUGAGUGCAGUUACAAAUGAACAGUGUGCUCUCUCAGGUUAAAGAUAUUAAAAAUUUGACACCACUCUGUGUGUGUGUGUGUGUGUGUGUGUGUGUGUGAGAGAGAGAGAGAGAGAGAGAGAGAGAGAGAGAGAGAGUUCAUGUAUCAACAAACAUGAAAUGAUACAACAUGAAACAUAACUGACAACAAGCAUAAAACAACUUAUCAACAAUGAGCUUGAUACAGCAAUACAAAUCUAUUAUACUGUAGACUUUAUUUAUUAUAUUUAUGUUCAGCUUUUUCCAGUGAAAAAGAGGUGUACAUCAUUUUUCUCAUCCUGCUCACCAUCUUAUCCCCUAAACAACAACCCUGUGAGGUAGACUGGGCUGAGAGUCUGUGAUUGGCCCAAAGUAACUCAGUUGGCUCCAUGACUUGAAUGGGGACUAGAAUCCAGAUCGUCUGAGUCCCAGUCCCAUGCUUUUAAUCACUAUAUCACACUGGCUCUAGAGAUAC